GCCUUCAUGGUGUAAUGGUCAGCACACCCCACGCGUUUUCGAAAGGUCCGUGGUUCGAGUCCCGGCGAGGGCA
rnacentral:tRNA from 1 species